AAUACUCCCCACUACUCCUAAAAUAUUAGAUGUUAAUUCAACACACCACUACUGUUACGUCGGGCCAUCUUGGUUUAAUACGCGGCAAACAUCGAACCGAGGGGCCGCGUCGUGUCCCGUCCGCGGAGUGGAGAUUUGUGUUUUCGUAAAUAAAAGAUUGAUUUUACACGAUGAUGAAUAAAUAUAAAAAAACUGUUUUCACCGAAGAUUAGGAAAAUAUAUAUAAAAGAAGACGGUAAACUAAUUGAAAAUUGGAUUCGAUGUGACAUUUGUCAACAAUGGUGUCACGAAAAUUGUUCUGCUUUUGAUGGCACUUAAGGGUAUACCUGUGACAAUUGCCAAUCUUAAUUUUAUAAUUUUAUGGUCAAUAAAAGUUAUCGUUUCUG
rnacentral:lncRNA from 1 species